rnacentral:piRNA from 1 species
UGCAGAUAUAAUUAAGAUGAGGUCCUUC